CGUGGGAAUUUUCCUCAAGGUACGGAACAACUCAGGGAAACUUGGGCUAAUACCGUAUGAUGCAGAGAUGCCAAAGAUUUAUCGCCUUGGGAUAAGCCCGCGUCAGAUUAGGUAGUUGGUGGGGUAAUGGCCUACCAAGCCUGUGAUCUGUAGCUGGUCUGAGAGGACGAUCAGCCACAUUGGGACUGAGACACGGCCCAAACUCCUACGGGAGGCAGCAGUGGGGAAUCUUGCGCAAUGGACGAAAGUCUGACGCAGCCAUGCCGCGUGAAUGAUGAAGGUCUUAGGAUUGUAAAGUUCUUUAGCCUGUGACGAUGAUGACGGUAACAGGAGAAUAAGCCCCGGCUAACUUCGUGCCAGCAGCCGCGGUAAUACGAAGGGGGCUAGCGUUGUUCGGAAUUACUGGGCGUAAAGCGCGCGUAGGCGGUUAUGCAAGCCAGAGGUGAAAUGCCUGAGCUCAACUUAGGAAUUGCCUUUGGAACUGCAUGGCUUUGAGGACGAGAGAGGUGAGUGGAAUUCCCAGUGUAGAGGUGAAAUUCGUAGAUAUUGGGAAGAACACCGGUGGCGAAGGCGGCUCACUGGCUCGUUUCUGACGCUGUAGCGCGAAAGCGUGGGGAUCAAACAGGAUUAGAUACCCUGGUAGUCCACGCUGUAAACGAUGAGUGCUAGGCGUUGGCACGCUUGCGUGUCAGUGCCGCAGCUAACGCGUGAAGCACUCC
rnacentral:rRNA from 1 species